UGGGAAAUGAUACAUGUUUACAUGUUGAAGAAAUCAUUGAACAUCACUAAAUUUCCCCAUAAAAAAUCACUUUCUGAUGACCGCAUUUCGUAAAACUUUCGCUUGCGGACAGAUACGAAGUGUACAAUU